GUUUUCAUAAUUUAAUAAAAAUAUUAAUUUUGUAAAUUAAAAAUAAGAAAUACUUUGAAAACU
rnacentral:tRNA from 1 species